GGGAAGUUGGCUCAGUGGUAGAGUGCUUGCCUUGCAUGCAUGAGGCCUUGGGUUCGAUUCCUCAGCACCACA
rfam:Dipodomys ordii contig_25198, whole genome shotgun sequence.